rnacentral:rRNA from 1 species
CAGUCGGGCGGUAGAGAGAAGCUUGCUUCUCUUGAGAGCGGCGGACGGGUGAGUAAUGCCUAGGAAUCUGCCUAGUGGUGGGGGAUAACGUUCGGAAACGGACGCUAAUACCGCAUACGUCCUACGGGAGAAAGCGGGGGACCUUCGGGCCUCGCGCCAUUAGAUGAGCCUAGGUCGGAUUAGCUAGUUGGUGAGGUAAUGGCUCACCAAGGCGACGAUCCGUAACUGGUCUGAGAGGAUGAUCAGUCACACUGGAACUGAGACACGGUCCAGACUCCUACGGGAGGCAGCAGUGGGGAAUAUUGGACAAUGGGCGAAAGCCUGAUCCAGCCAUGCCGCGUGUGUGAAGAAGGUCUUCGGAUUGUAAAGCACUUUAAGUUGGGAGGAAGGGUAGUAACUUAAUACGUUGCUACUUUGACGUUACCGACAGAAUAAGCACCGGCUAACUUCGUGCCAGCAGCCGUGGUAAUACGAAGGGUGCAAGCGUUAAUCGGAAUUACUGGGCGUAAAGCGCGCGUAGGUGGUUCAGUAAGUUGGAAGUGAAAUCCCCGGGCUCAACCUGGGAACUGCUUUCAAAACUGCUGAGCUAGAG